UACGUAGGGUGCAAGCGUUAAUCGGAAUUACUGGGCGUAAAGCGUGUGCAGGCGGUGAUGUAAGACAGGUGUGAAAUCCCCGGGCUUAACCUGGGAACUGCAUUUGUGACUGCAUCGCUGGAGUGCGGCAGAGGGGGAUGGAAUUCCGCGUGUAGCAGUGAAAUGCGUAGAGAUGUGGAGGAACACCGAUGGCGAAGGCAGCCCCCUGGGUCAAGAUUGACGCUCAUGCACGAAAGCGUGGGGAGCAAACAGG
rnacentral:rRNA from 1 species